GAAUUAAAUUGUAUCAAAAUAUUGAAAUGUCAUUUGCUAUUGUUAAAUUUUGAAGUGGAAAAAUUAAAGAAGUGGAAGUGAUUGCUAAAAGUUGGAUGAAAAAUGAUGGGAAAUGCUUUUGACCCCCAUUUGAAAGUUACGCUGCAAUUCGUAAAGGUGUUACUACCUUGCAGGUACCAACCUCUGAGUGGAAAAUAUACCCAGCUAGGAUUUUAUACACUACAGAUUUUUAUCAAGAAGCUCGGUCGCGCUUAGAAAAAGCAGCAGAUACGUCGAAUAUUGAAACUGACACUGAAGAGGAAAAAGGGACUAAGCAAAAGAGAAAGGCAGUGAUGGCAUUCUGUGAAAGUGAUGAAGAUAUUGUUGUUAGUGAUGAAGAAUUAUACGGAAGACAUUAUUUGAAGAGUUCAAAUAGCCAAAGAAUAUGUAACAUUAUUCCAAAUAUAGCAGAUGUUUUAAAAUCGAUAUCAACUCCCCAUUUACACAGUGAAAUAGCAAGUUUUUCAGUUGCUAAAAACAACAUUGAAUUUUCAAAAGAAACAAAUCUAUCUCAAGAAAAAAUGAUGUUGUCUUCAAAUAUAUUAGUAAAAAAAUGUCUUAAUGUUGCUUUUGUUCUGGUUAAAACCUAUGU